GCUCAGAACAUGCAGCAAAGGCAACUCUUGCUCUUCCAGGGACUGGACUGGAAGGGUUAAGCCCCGGUCCUGACCCCCACCUCCCGCUGUCCUUCUGGGCAGCAGAGCCAGUUGGUGACAAGAGGCUGAUGCUGAUGAAGGAGCAUGUGAAGCCAGAGCUGUGAAUGGGGCUUUAUCCCCGGGGGACCUGCCUCUGCUCCGUCCCUGCCCUGCUGCCAGCACCAGCUGCAGGCAUAGUCCUGCGGGCAGCCAUGUGCCAGUAGCCUCUGAGCUGGGCACAAGGGGCUGGGGAGGCAGGAGACUCGUCCUUGAGGCAGGCUGAGGUCCCCACAGUGUGUGGAGGUCUCCCGGGAAGACGUGCGUGGCUGAUCCAUGCUCCAGUGCCCGGGGCUUUUAUGAAAGACACAGGAAAGGAAGGACGCGGCCCUGGUUGUUCCCUUCUGGUGCUGCUCCAGGGAUGCUCCACUGCCUGCUGCAGCCCUGCCUGGAGGGUGGGCUCAGCCCCAGCACAUGGACCAUAGCUCUCCAGGUGGCACAGCUGCAGAGGGCAGCUCCAAAGAAUGAGACAGAGACGUUCCCCGCUUGAGAAAUGCAGCUGCCUUCGCAACCGCUGACGUCUGGACCCUUCUCUUCACUGUAAGGGUGUAGAUCCAACUGUGCAACCACCCCACCGUGUCCCCCCCACCCACCCACACACCAUGCCGGAGCUGGCGGAGCUGAGCAGCCCCCGCACCCCUGCAGACGCGGACCACAUCCAGAGGAACAUCCUGGAGGAGCAUGUGGAGCUCUGGUGGUUCCAGGACCCCAAGAAGUCCAUCCUGUGCUACGGGGUGGCCGUGGCACUGAUCCUGUCCUGUGGAAUCGGGGGCAUCAUCCUGCUGUACAGCACCAGCAGCCGGUCCGGGGAGUGGCGGCUGGCUGUGGGCACCACACUGUGCCUGCUGGCCCUGCUCGUGCUGCUGAAGCAGCUGCUGAGCUCUGCAAUCCAGGACAUGAACUGCAUCCGCAGCCGGGAUCAGAUUGAGCUCCUCAAGAGCGGCGGCUUCUCCGACUGCCUGGUGCUGCUGCUCAGCGCCCUGGUGCUGCUGGUCUGUGGGGUGGUGCUCACCAUCCUCUCCACCACGAGCAUGCAGCUCAGCCCCGCGCGGCCGCUGGCCAGCAUGUUCACCAGUGGGGUUGUCCUCCUGACUGCUGGCAGCGCCAUCCUCCUCUGCCUGCUGCUCUACCUGCUCUGCACGUCCUGCCGCCAGGCCGCUCCUCACAGCCUGGAGACCGGCGAGAUCCGUGUCUUCACCAUCUCUGGCCGCCUCGCUCCUAACAGGCGGCUUCCUCCCACCUCCAGCAUGGCCAACCUGAUCUGACCCAGGACACCUCUGCGUGAGCCUCUGGAUACAACCUGUCAGCAGGGCUGGUGCUGGCUUUUCCUUGACGGAAAUGGGAGUGCUGCCAUGUGCCUCACACUUCUUUCGGAGAGGACUGGCAUCUGCUUUGCCCCAGGCUGAUGGCACGGCAGGGACCUGGGGCACCUGGACAGGCACAUGAGGAGCUCAGCGCUGGCCUGGUUGGUGGUGUAUCUCCACAAAGCCUCCUGCAACAGCUGCUGCCUGCUCCGCUGUGGUGCCUGUCACAGCUUUAAGAUGCACAUGCAUCUCCUUCUGCUCAAGGAACUAUAUAGCUGGUCCCCCUUACCACCACUGUGAACAGAAGAUCUUGCCAUGCCUCUGAAAGAUGCUCACGUGGUGCAUGCAAAGCCUCCUGAUGAUGUCCAUGCCAGUUGGUUUGUAGAGAAGCUGUUUCACCCUGUGAUGAGCCCGAGCCUUGUGCUUCAUGGCAUCAGCUAUUGCCUGCAGCGACCCUUUAAUCAGCCUGCCUGCAUACCUGCCACUGCUCCCAUCCACC